rnacentral:rRNA from 1 species
UACGUAGGGGGCAAGCGUUGUCCGGAAUCAUUGGGCGUAAAGAGCGUGUAGGCGGCCUGGUAAGUCCGCUGUGAAAGUCCAGGGCUCAACCCUGGGAUGCCGGUGGAUACUGUCGGGCUCGAGUCCGGAAGAGGCGAGUGGAAUUCCUGGUGUAGCGGUGAAAUGCGCAGAUAUCAGGAGGAACACCAAUGGCGAAGGCAGCUCGCUGGGACGUGACUGACGCUGAGACGCGAAAGCGUGGGGAGCAAACAGG